ensembl:lncRNA
GGGGUGGAGCCUGGCUGCACCUCUCUUAGACCUCAUUUAAGGGCUGAUUGUCUCUGGGGAAAGAUCUCUGGUUGGAGAUCCCUCUCUUGUGGAUUUUUCUCUGUGAGCCUCUAUCUUCAGAGACGGGUCAUGGUAGUUUAUAGACAAGCUGCAUCAGAGGAAAUGUGAAGAACUGGUAAGGAUUUGACCUGAUGCACAGAAGCUUUUUAGAAGUCCUGGUGUAUCCUCAGCUGCCUGAGUCAACGUGAGCUUUGUUCCUGACCUUGGUGAACUCAGGACUUCACUGUUGUGUACAUUUGCUGCCUAACAGGCAAUUCAUGUCCCUUCCCCUGUCACAGUGAGUCAGCACUGGCAUUUGCGCAGAAGUUCUUGCUCUGGUUUCCCCAUGAUAAGCUGACUGACCUCAGAGUCCACUUGGCUGUAGCUGAAUCUGAACUGCACAUAAUCACUUGAAAAACAAAAGUGAAAAGCCAGUAGAAGUGUGGUUUCUGGACAAGGCAUGGAACUGUGGCAGAUCUGCUUCCAGGUCUGCUAGAAACAUCAGCUGUGAUUUAAUGCAGGUCACUUUGCUCCUCCAUACCUCCCUUUCUCAUCUGAGCAAAUGGAGAUAGCAGUGCUUAUGCUUCAUUUGGCAGCUGUUUCUUCCUAUUGUCCAUCCACUGAGCAGGGCUGCUCUUUGUUUAAGAUUCACCCAGUGUGAGAGUGAUACGGUCUUGCUUGAGGUCUAUGGAGCCUUUAGCAGUAGUAACGCAGACAAGCAGUUAACUAAACCAGAAACAAGUAUUCAAACAAUAUGCCUGUGAGGUUUUUCUCUCCGUUGGAUUUCAUGAUGUAUUUUUUUUUCUUUGAUUUACUUCAUACCUCUAGGAAUAUUUGUUUAGCUUUUACAUGACAUUACAGCUUUCUUAGAAAAUCAGAACGUGGCUCUGAGUAAUCAGAUGGCUAAUGCCUUUAUUAUUGUUUCUUUUCAUGUAAUAAUCUGUAGCCUUGACAAAUACCUACUUCAGGCAAUAAACGUAUUCAAG